rnacentral:sRNA from 1 species
GCCAGGCGUGGUGGUGCAUGCCUGUAAUCCCAGCUACUCAGGAGGCUGAGGCAGAAGAAUCACUUGAACCCAGGAGGCGGAGGUUGCAGUGAGCUGAGAUCGCGCCACUGCACUCCUGCCUGGGCGGCAGAGUGAGACUCUGUCUCAA